rnacentral:rRNA from 1 species
CCGGGCAUUUCAUCGUUAGUGACAACAAUACAAUACUUGUCUUCGUCCUUAUUGUCACUGGAUUAGAGCACUGCAAGAUUGAACCCACCACUAUGCACCACUCCAUCUGACGAUCUAUCAAUCAAUCUUGUCCAGAGAAGACAAAUAGAUCGGAAAGCAUGCAUAUCUAUUUAAUUAUGGAGCAAAAAACUUUAAGAGAUUCAAUACAAAUCAAUGAACAAUCUGUUCAUGAAUCAACAAUUCAUCGAAUCACAACAAACACAUCACAAGGAUUAAGUCGGAUUGAUCUCAGAGAAGAUCAUUGUAUAGAGAGCUACUACUAUGAACCUGUAGGUCCUAAUAGAACUACUCACACACCAUCAUGAAGGCACUAAGGUUGGUGAAGAUAGCCACCCAAUGAUUUCCUCCUUCGGCAGAACUCUGGAACCGGGCUCCAUAUGGGAUCACUUCGAAACAGAGUCUUGUGGUGGCAAAUAAACUAUUUCAGGUCUCGCUCUAAGGGUUUCAGGAU